rnacentral:tRNA from 1 species
GGUAGGGUGGCCGAGCGUUAGGCGGCGGGUUGUAGCCCCGCGAACAGAGGUUUAAGUCCUCUCCUUAUCA